UACGAAGGGGGCUAGCGUUGUUCGGAAUUACUGGGCGUAAAGGGCGCGUAGGCGGCGUGUCAAGUCAGGCGUGAAAGCCCCGGGCUCAACCUGGGAACCGCGCUUGAGACUGGCAUGCUCGAGUUCGGGAGAGGAUGGUGGAAUUCCCAGUGUAGAGGUGAAAUUCGUAGAUAUGGGGAGGAACACCGGUGGCGAAGGCGGCCACCUGGACGGUAACUGACGCUGAGACGCGAAAGCGUGGGGAGCAAACAGG
rnacentral:rRNA from 1 species